rnacentral:tRNA from 1 species
GGGGGUGUAGCUCAAGCAGUAGAGCACAUGCUUAGCAUGCACGAGGUUCUGGGUUCAAUCCCUGCUUCUUCU